UCCCCCUCAGAAAAUAAACAUCAGAAAAAUUCUCUCCAUUCUCUAGUCUUCAGAAGCUCUGCGUCUCAACCAAGGAGGAGAAGAAGUCAUGCAAUACAUCAAGAUCCUAGCUGCCAUCCAUCAUUGUGUCGUCCCUAGAAGAUUGCUUGCUUUCAAGGAUCUUCAAGUUCUUCGUCUCAAGGCUUUGUCAUUCAUCUUUCACGGGUUAAAUUGCGCGCUUGCUUCAAGCGUUAUCAUUCACUUCGCCAGGUGGAAAAUCAAAGUGGUGCUUCAAAGAAAGAUAAUAAGAAGGCGAACAAGAGCUAUUAAAUGUUGAACUUGCUACACCUCAUCAGCCUAUUGGUGUAAAGAAAGCAAAGCUGAAGAAAGAAUUGAAUGAGAAGACCAAGAUUGCUCAGUUAGUCAAAGAAUCCAACCAAGAAUUGAAUGAGUUAUUUGCAAAAAGCUUAUUAGAGAUAAAUAUUUUUUUCCUUCAAGCACGAGGAAUAUGCUUACAAGUUUGGAUUCAAUUACAUAUCCAGAAGAACGUGAUUACUUACGAAUGAAAAAAGCUAAAAUAACAGAGAGAAGAGCUCACAAGUCCCAACUACAACAAUCACCUGCAACAUUUGGCUAUGGUAAUAUCGGUAACAUCAACCAAUUUCAAGAGGAUUACAAGCAAUUUUCAACUCCAGUAAUUUUGCUAGCCCAUUCCAGUUUCCAAGUGAAAUUGGAGGAAGUGGUGAAUAUGGACAACACUAUGGAGGAACCGCUAGAUAUGACGUAGUUCUUCAUUAUGGAGGAAGUGGUGGAUCUGGAACAAGUGGUGCACAUGGAGGAGUACAACAAUUGGGUGAUAGCAGUGGAUCCAAAACAAAUUGUGAAUGUGGACGAAUGUCAGAACAUGGAGGAAGUGAUGAUAGUAUCUCGGAGUACAAACUGUAGCGAUUUAUAGUUUUAUUUAUAUUUAUGCUUUUGUUAUUUUGUUUUACGCAUAAGUGUGUGAUUUUUUCUGAGCUAGGAGCUAAUCUCUGAGAAUUAUUUGAA